rnacentral:rRNA from 1 species
UACGAAGGGGGCUAGCGUUGUUCGGAAUUACUGGGCGUAAAGCGUGCGCAGGCGGCCAUCCAAGUCAGUGGUGAAAGCCCGGAGCUCAACUCCGGAAUUGCCAUUGAAACUGUUUGGCUCGAGUACGAGAGAGGUGAGUGGAAUUCCCAGUGUAGAGGUGAAAUUCGUAGAUAUUGGGAAGAACACCGGUGGCGAAGGCGG